GUGGAUUAGAUACCCUAGUAGUCCACGCCCUAAACGAUGAUGACUAGUUGUUGGAGGAGUUAAAUCCUUUAGUAACGCAGCUAACGCGUGAAGUCAUCCGCCUGGGGAGUACGGUCGCAAGAUUAAAACUCAAAGGAAUUGACGGGGGCCCGCACAAGCGGUGGAUGAUGUGGUUUAAUUCGAUGCAACGCGAAAAACCUUACCGACCCUUGACAUGCCAGGGACGCUCCAGAAAUGGGGCGGUGCCCGAAAGGGAACCUGGACACAGG
rnacentral:rRNA from 1 species